UACCCCUGUGCACUUACUGUAGGUUGGCGUGGGCUCCUUAACGGGAGCAUUCUGCCGGCCUAUGUAUACUACAAACACUUUAAAGUAUCAGAAUGUAAACGCGUCUAACGCAUCUAUAAUACAACUUUUAGCAACGGAUCUCUUGGCUCUCGCAUCGAUGAAGAACGCAGCGAAAUGCGAUAAGUAAUGUGAAUUGCAGAAUUCAGUGAAUCAUCGAAUCUUUGAACGCACCUUGCGCUCCUUGGUAUUCCGAGGAGCAUGCCUGUUUGAGUGUCAUGGAAUUCUCAACUUAUAAAUCCUUGUGAUCUAUAAGCUUGGACUUGGAGGCUUGCUGGCCCUUGUUGGUCGGCUCCUCUUGAAUGCAUUAGCUCGAUUCCGUACGGAUCGGCUCUCAGUGUGAUAAUUGUCUACGCUGUGACCGUGAAGUGUUUUGGCGAGCUUCUAACCGUCCAUUAGGACAACUUUUUAACAUCUGACCUCAAAUCAGGUAGGACUACCCGCUGAACUUAAGCAUAUCAAUAAGCGGAGGAAAAGAAACUAACAAGGAUUCCCCUAGUAACUGCGAGUGAAGCGGGAAAAGCUCAAAUUUAAAAUCUGGCGGUCUUUGGCCGUCCGAGUUGUAGUCUGGAGAAGCGUCUUCCGCGUUGGACCGUGUACAAGUCUCUUGGAACAGAGCGUCAUAGAGGGUGAGAAUCCCGUCUUUGACACGGACUACCAAUGCUUUGUGAUGCGCUCUCAAAGAGUCGCGUUGUUUGGGAAUGCAGCGCAAAA
rnacentral:rRNA from 1 species